AUACUUAAAGGUGGUGCAGUAUCCUAGUCAAUGCGACUGCUCUGGAAGACGGGGCUAAAAAUCCGUUGAAGAGCACAUCGAUGAAGUUUCUUGUAUAGGCUUCUGACGCCCAGUCGGGGGUUUGUGCAGGGAGUAAGAAAGAUGGGGCGAUCUGCAAUGGCAUGCAGGCGAUGACCCUACUUUCGUGGAGACAUGACUAAGGUCGUGAUAAACCUACUUUUUGAAUAAAUUAGUAGAAGUAGCUUGCUUUGAGCGAGAUUAGGCAGAUGGCAAGCCAUCCAUAAUUUCAAAAGGGCCCAAGAUUUUAUGGGUUUUGUUGCCGAAACCUAUUUUGCAAAAGAAGCUAAGGAGUAGUCAAUUUGUUGAGGAAAACUCCUAGGCUGUUCGAAAGAGGCAGAUUGUGGAUUACAGUGCGGCCUAAGUGGCGAUCCAGUUGUACCAUUGGCGACAAGGUAUUGAUAGGUUUAAAGGGAAACCGCUGUUAUGGUGACAGACAGCACUUAUUAGGGAAAACCUACUGGACCAAAGCCGUAAGAUUUACACAAUUUGUUACCACCUAUUAAA
rnacentral:sRNA from 1 species